GAUGAACGCUAGCUACAGGCUUAACACAUGCAAGUCAGGGGCAGCAUGAAGUCAGCUUGCUGACUUUGAUGGCGACCGGCGCACGGGUGCGUAACGCGUAUCCAAUCUACCCAUGGCUCGGGAAUAGCCUUUCGAAAGAAAGAUUAAUGCCCGAUGGUCUCCUUUCAGGACAUCCUGUUUGGAGUAAAGAUUCAUCGGCGAUGGAUGGGGAUGCGUCCGAUUAGCUGGUUGGCGGGCAACGGCCCACCAAGGCGACGAUCAGUAGGGGUUCUGAGAGGAAGGUCCCCCACAUUGGAACUGAGACACGGUCCAAACUCCUACGGGAGGCAGCAGUGAGGAAUAUUGGUCAAUGGGCGAGAGCCUGAACCAGCCAAGUCGCGUGAAGGAUGAAGGUUCUAUGGAUUGUAAACUUCUUUGUCCGAGGGUAAAAGGUCACGUGUGACUUCUUGCAAGUAUCGGACGAAUAAGCAUCGGCUAACUCCGUGCC
rnacentral:rRNA from 1 species